AUGGUAACCCAGGCGCCUGCUGAGGAGGAUGCAAGGCUGUGGCAGGCCCAGCAGACGCUGGGUCCCCUGAUGCCUGGAGUUCGAGGCACACAGAUUGCAGGGUACCAUAGCCUGGACUACCCCAGGGAGAGCAAGGUAGAAGAUACCAGCCCAGGCAGGGAGGAAGCUUUUUACCACUCUGAAGCCAGAGCUCCUGCAAUCAGCUCCAGAGUCAAACCAGUCCACAAGGAGAUAGAUGGGGGUGGGAUGGGGGCUGAGGCAGAGCCCCCACCAGGAAGAACUCACAUGAGGAGACAGUAUCAGUCCCUUCCCCCUUGCCAUGCCCCAGAAGGUCCCCUGGGAUCUCUGGGUACUUUCUCCUCCACGGAGCUGGGCAUGAAACUGCGUGCCAUGCUGCCUGAUAGUGCUGUCACUGUUUGGCCCCUAGCCCAUACCACCCAGGGCCAAGAUCAAGAAUUGUGCAGAUGUCUUCAGUUGUGGUGAAAGAAAAAGCUCCUUGAUCAUAGGGAUGGUAUCUUGGGGCUUUCUCCUCCACAAUGUGACUCUGAGCAAGUGCUCCUUAAGUCUUCCUGACAUCUACCUGACUGCUUAGGACAUUUAUACUUGGCCUUCUCUAUAACUCAGAGCUGUCUCUCCUUCCUCUCUCAAAAGCCCUCUCCGAACCCAGCGUCAGGGGAGCCUCCUUGUCCCACUGGAAGUGCCCUGGGAAGGUCUCCCUCCCUGGGUGUACCCUGCUUGCCACAGGGCCUGACAAUGAGAGAAGCUGGAGAGGCAGAGAGGAAGUGAGUCAGCUCCUUGCAGAAAUGGGACCGAGGAGGAGCCAGCAGAAAUGAGAUCAGAGGGCAAAGGGCAAAGGAGUCAAAAAGGUCACUGAGAGGAACCAGGGCCUGGAGAUGUUGUGGGGCCCACAGAGUAGAAGAUAGAUAUGGGUGACAAAUUCAGCAGUGCCCCCUACUGCCAUGGGUGGUGGCCCUGGUAGAACAGAGAACCUAGGUCUGCCAGGCAGGCCCCACCUGAGGUUGGAAUUUGAGGUGGUUUCCCUUCCUGACUCACACAGGCUAGGGGAAGUGAGGCCUUGUGGGAAAUGGCAAGCCUCUUCUCUCCCCAGAGAGGUGGAAUCUCAGCUCCGAGGCCUCCUGCUGCCUCUCCUGAGCCCUACAGCUCCAAAAGUCUGGAUUCCCCCCAAACAGCCCUAGGAGAGAGAUUUGUUUGUGUCUCUCAGAGGGGACUGGGACUGAGUCUGGGCCCCAAGAGCAGAGCAGUUCCAGAAACCCUAGCACGGGUCCCUGCUCUCUCUAGUGGCCCCUACCCAUGUGGGAGCUGUCCUCAAGCUCCAGCUGGAAUCUGUUGCUCUGACUGAGAAAGAUCCUUGCUGUGAAAAUUCCCAGCCUGCUGACAUUCCAGAAAUCCAGGGAAAGCAGCAGGAGGGCAAAGGAAGCAUUGAGCCCUGCCUGGCCACAUUCCAACCCCUCAGAGACCUGAAGCCAGUGAGACAGGCACAUUCCUCCAGGGUCCCCUAGACGGGACACUGGGUGGCCCCAUGUAACCCUGAAUCUCCUUCUCUUGGGCCAGGUGACUCAAUGAGGACUCCUGUGCAGAGGCAGGAGGCAGGCUGUACCUGGGACCCUCCUUCUGUAGGCUCUGGCUCCUGGAGGCCUACAAAGCCCAGCUCUCCUCUAGUGCUAUGAGACAUCAAGUAUCAGGACACAGAAGAGACAAAGUUAGUGGGUGGAGGCAGCUCUUGGUAACAUACUUCAGACAAGCUACCAGAGCCCAUUAAGGAGGAGAAUUCCAGGAACCAAAACCAAGCUGAACAAGGAAGGGGAGAUGAGCAAAAGAGAAACCAGUUCCUGGUUAGAGAACCACCUUUUCUUCAACAAAUAUCCACUGCUCUCAUGAAGUGCUCUAGCAUUUGACAAAUAAUCUAACAACUAAUCAGUCACAAUCUUGAUCGAUGCUAUUAAAGAGAAGGAUGGUUUCUGCCAGAGUAGAGAUCUGACAUGGCAUCAGGAGAGUCUCCCAAAGAAAGUAACAAACUGGGGCCAAUGUGCAUGAGGGUAUGCAGCUGGGCAGGUACUAUCCGUGGUGAAGCUAAUAAAAACACUAGGGUUGCAUACCCACUAUGUGCUGGACUCUGUUGUCCUUGUUCCUUCAUCCUUUUUCCACAAUGCACACAGUACAUAGCUCCCAACAAGGCAAAGGAGGUUGCCUGUGGUCAUGGGUGACACUCUGGGGAUCCUGACACCCCAAUUCCAGUGAUCAGUACCAGCAUGAGAUUAUGAGCCAGAAAGGUAAGAGGCAAUAUCCCUGCCUCCUGGAUCUACUCUAGAAUGUAGCAAGGAAACUGCCUAAGGGGCAACAGUGUGUCUCUUCUCUACCUCUAGGGAAAUGCUCUGGAACCUGCCAAGGCAGCUGACCCAUCCUUUCUUGAAGCUUCCCCCAGUCAUCCUUUUCUGCCUCUCCCAACUAUCACCAGACUGAAUCCUACCUGCAGCUACUUGGUGGGUUCACAUCCUCUGGCUGACUGUCAGGAGACACUGAGAGCGCCAAUCACACCCUUCUGUGGGACGCCAUUAUAAAUUAAGAAAGAGGGUCUUGCUAGUUCAGCAAGCCUAAAAAAUCUAGAAUUUCUGUGUUUUUUCAUAUUCUCUCACAGAGCAAGAG
rnacentral:lncRNA from 1 species